GAUGAACGCUGGCGGCGUGCCUAAUACAUGCAAGUCGAGCGAACAGACGAGGAGCUUGCUCCUCUGACGUUAGCGGCGGACGGGUGAGUAACACGUGGAUAACCUACCUAUAAGACUGGGAUAACUUCGGGAAACCGGAGCUAAUACCGGAUAACAUGUUGAACCGCAUGGUUCAACAGUGAAAGACGGUCUUGCUGUCACUUAUAGAUGGAUCCGCGCCGCAUUAGCUAGUUGGUAAGGUAACGGCUUACCAAGGCAACGAUGCGUAGCCGACCUGAGAGGGUGAUCGGCCACACUGGAACUGAGACACGGUCCAGACUCCUACGGGAGGCAGCAGUGGGGAAUCUUCCGCAAUGGGCGAAAGCCUGACGGAGCCACGCCGCGUGAGUGAAGAAGGUCUUCGGGUCGUAAAACUCUGUUAUUAGGGAAGAACAAAUGUGUAAGUAACUAUGCACGUCUUGACGGUACCUAAUCAGAAAGCCACGGCUAACUACGUG
rnacentral:rRNA from 1 species